CCUGACACUGAAACUCUGAUAGCCUCCAUGGAUGACAUAUGACCUCAUAAUAAUUAAAUAUGUGUAGUAUGCUCGUGUAAUCAUAUGUCGUGAAUACAUAUAUUGAUGAAAAUACAUGAUAUACCCAAUCAAAUGCUAGCAGCGACGGUCUCUUUCGGUAGCUAACCGGUAUCAUAUUGCCAACUUGUGGCCAUCUGUACAAUAUAAGAUUUUCGGGCAAAUAGGCCCCUUGCCUCCGAUUAUAGCUUGAAGUCCAUGCAUAAUAUACCAUGUAUGAUAUGAACUUUGAAUGCUCAUAAUAGGCCAUAACAAGAACUUAGCCAAUCUUGGCUCAUAGGUACUCUUAUUCCCAUGAUCUCAUAAUCACCUUCGUAUCGCAUACAGUUGUCUCGUGGAACCUCAUAUGUUUUCUUUUCUUUUGAAUAAGCUUGAAAACUUAACUCGACUUUUAGAGAGAUAACUCAACUCAGAAGAUGUUCAUAAAAAGCUUAAGGUGCUUCACUUAGUCCUUAUAUCUGAUUUCUUGUUAUUUAAUAAAAGAAAGUAUAUCCAAAAAUCAAGUGUUUUAGUAGUUUAAAUAAAAAUUUAUAUUUGAGAUUAUUGGAAAUCGACAUGUCACUUCAGAGAUUUUAAAAUACACUUUAACAAGGAAGAAUGACUGAUCGCAAAUACUAAAUGCCUUUAUUUUUUUUAGUUACACUACCCAAAGACGAAUAAAAAUUCAUA
rnacentral:lncRNA from 1 species